rnacentral:rRNA from 1 species
UACGAAGGGUGCAAGCGUUAUUCGGAAUCAUUGGGCGUAAAGCGCGCGCAGGCGGAUUGAUAAGUCAGGUGUGAAAUCCCGGGGCUCAACCUCGGAACCGCGCCUGAAACUAUUAGUCUAGAGUGUUGGAGGGGGCAGGGGAAUUUCACGUGUAGGGGUAAAAUCCGUAGAGAUGUGAAGGAACACCGGAGGCGAAGGCGCCUGCCUGGACAACUACUGACGCUGAGGCGCGAAAGCGUGGGGAGCAAACAGG